rnacentral:tRNA from 3 species
GGGUCGUUAGCUCAACUGGCAGAGCAGCGGACUUUUAAUCCGCGGGUUCAGGGUUCGAUCCCCUGGCGACCCA